rnacentral:lncRNA from 1 species
GCGUGGCCUCCCGUAGACUCAGGGCUCAAGUUGGACGUGGGCCCAAAUCUGGACCGGCUGGGUUUGCUGGGGGUGUCUUGAGGUCCCCUCCACCGUCGUCUCCGAAUCCCCCUCCAUGAUCCUUCCUUGCUCCAUCUCACCCUGGCAGAAAAAAUCUAAGAUCUCCGCCUCGAGAAAAUUGCAGCUGAAGCCCCGGGUGGGCUGCGCUUCCCUCCCACCCCUCUGCAGACUCUGCUGCUGCAGAUUGCAAAGCAAGAGCUGGAGCGAGAGGCGGAGGAGCGGCGCG